rnacentral:rRNA from 1 species
AGCGGGAAGUAGUUUACUACUUUGCCGGCGAGCGGCGGACGGGUGAGUAAUGUCUGGGAAACUGCCUGAUGGAGGGGGAUAACUACUGGAAACGGUAGCUAAUACCGCAUAACGUCUUCGGACCAAAGUGGGGGACCUUCGGGCCUCACGCCAUCGGAUGUGCCCAGAUGGGAUUAGCUAGUAGGUGGGGUAAUGGCUCACCUAGGCGACGAUCCCUAGCUGGUCUGAGAGGAUGACCAGCCACACUGGAACUGAGACACGGUCCAGACUCCUACGGGAGGCAGCAGUGGGGAAUAUUGCACAAUGGGCGCAAGCCUGAUGCAGCCAUGCCGCGUGUGUGAAGAAGGCCUUCGGGUUGUAAAGCACUUUCAGCGAGGAGGAGGGCCAAUAACUUAAUACGUUGUUGGAUUGACGUUACUCGCAGAAGAAGCACCGGCUAACUCCGUGCCAGCAGCCGCGGUGAUACGGAGGGUGCAAGCGUUAAUCGGAAUUACUGGGCGUAAAGCGCACGCAGGCGGUUUGUUAAGUCAGAUGUGAAAUCCCCGCGCUUAACGUGGGAACUGCAUUUGAAACUGGCAAGCUAGAGUCUUGUAGAGGGGGGUAGAAUUCCAGGUGUAGCGGUGAAAUGCGUAGAGAUCUGGAGGAAUACCGGUGGCGAAGGCGGCCCCCUGGACAAAGACUGACGCUCAGGUGCGAAAGCGUGGGGAGCAAACA